rnacentral:tmRNA from 1 species
GGGGGUGAAAUUGGCUUCGACGGGAUUAAAGAGACACUAAACUGCACACCGUGUUUCCUGCAGACACGUUAAACGGCGGGAAAAAACUUUAAUUGGCGAAUACGAUUACGCUCUAGCUGCGUAAAUUAACGCAGCCGUUCUCUGUUCUCUCUCGUACC